ensembl:lncRNA
GCCUUCUCCACUGAUAUAAGAGUAUCUAGUAAUUUAGUCAUUCUUUUCUUUCUGGUAGAAAGAGGGAAACACCCUUACAAAUGGAUAUGUCUUUUUUAGACGUAAAUUUCCCUUGCAAACAUGAAACUUUCCCUUACAGAUUUAAAUUAGUGCUUUCUCCAUUGAUAACAGUAUCUAGUGAUUUUGUCAUUCUUUUCUUUCUGGUAGAAAGAGGGAAACACCUUUACAAAUGGAUAUUUCUUUUAUAGAUGUAAAUUUCCCUUACAAAUGUGUAACUUUUACUCUGUUUUCAGAGCUUCUCUUGUGUCUGCUGUUUCUCAAAAUAAUCAGCUCAAAAUAAUCCCUAUGCCAAACAGACAUAUUUUGGGGUGGCCUAUUCUGGUUUCCUACAGUCAUAUUUUCGGGUGGCAUAUUUUUGGUCUCCUGCCAAAGCAAAGGUUGGGAAUUAUGAAGUCAAAGAACCAGGGAUGAUGAAACAAAGAGGAACAAAUCUCAAUAGGCCAAUGAUAAGAGUCUAGAAGUUCAGAAUCAGGGGCUAUAAGGAAGAACUCAAUGCCCUCCUGCUUUCCAUCUAGCUUUCAUCUCUGCUAUCUCUGCUUCUCCUUGUGUAUUGGUCCCAUUAUCUCCUACUAAAGGCAAGCUUACUGUACAUGGCAAAUUAAAGACCUUUCAACAAUUUCUGGUAUGUAUCCUAAUACAAAAUUCAAGAAGAGUCAUCCCCCACACACAUACACUUUGCAUCUAAAAAAUUCUACAGAAAACUCUAAUUGGCCUACCUUGGGUCACAGGCCUACCCCUUGGACCAAUUUUUGUGGCCACUGUAUCAAAUGCCCAUUUCUGUGGCAGGGCAGGACAAUCUACUGUGAUAAAAAAUAUUCUACUAGAAUGCAUGAAAUGAGGGAUAGAUUCCCCAGAAGAAAGAGAAUGAAAGAAAAGAAAGAGAGAGAAAUCCUGAUCAAGGAUAGUGGAAAAUAAUUAGAUACUGCCUACAACUUUAAAAAAAGUAUCAAUGUAAACAUGCUAUUUAAAAUAUAAACACCAAAAAAUUAAAAAUUAAGAAGUUGAAAAUGUUGCCUCCAAAGAUGAAAGAGAGAUAAAGUAGAGGUUGGGGAUAGGGACUGGGAACCAAUAUGUAUUCAUCAUACACCUUGGAAAGUAUUUCAGUCUUUCAAUUAUGCACAAGAAUAAGUCAUAAAGAAGAAAAACUAAAUUAAAAACCAAAUAGUGGUUGAUGCCGGGUGUGGUGGCUCAUGUCUACAAUCCUAGCAUUUUGGGAGGCUGAGGCAGGAGGAUCACUUGAGCUCAGGAGAUGGAGACCAGCCUGGGCAAUAUAGUGAGACCUCAUCUCUAUAUUAAAAAAAAAAGUUUUUAAAAAAGUGAUUGAGUGGAAAUGAAACUCUGGGGAAGAAAUGUGUAGAUUUAAAAAUCAAACAAAAGCCAGGCACGGUGGCACAAACUUGUAGUCCCAGCUACUUGGGACACUGAGGCAGGAGAAUUACUUGAGGUCAGGGGUUUGAAGCUGCAGUGCCCUAUGAUCGUGCUUGUGAAUAGCCACUGCAGUCCAGCCCAGGCAACACAGCAAGCCUCUGUCACUACAUCAAAAGAAAAAAUCAAAUAAAAAUGAACAUGUUACCCCGUUUGUGAUUUGAAAGCAUAAUACGAAGGUAAAAUGACAUUCUCUAGGUACCUGCAGUCAAUUCAAAAUUUUCACUAUGAAUCUUUAACCAUUAUUUUGCCAAAAGUUUGUAAAAAUAAACCUCUAACCUACAUUUGUUUCUGAAUUCCAUGCUGUAAUUUAUAAAGUUUACGAAGUAUAGAAGCCCCAGUGGGAAAUUUCAUCUAAAUAAAAUAGCUUGAUAUUUUUAACUGCUGUAAUUUGAAAAAUGUUAUUUAAAGAAAAGAAAACUUUCUCUCUUCAAAAAAAUAUGUUUUCUAAAUACAGCAGUAAAUAGUUCAUUUUACUGGUAACUCAACACAUAUGGAGAUACCUGUCCACCAUUAAACUGUUGUCUACCUGCCUGGUUAAGAAGACGAGUUUCUACGCAUAUGGGCAGAAGUGGCUCAUGGAGAAACGAGAAGGUGGUGAGCUCUAAGAAACCACCUGUUAUAUGUUAUGGUUUCUCUAGUGACUCACCAGACGUUUGCAAAUGGGAAACUGGUCAAGAAGGUGAAGGAGGAUUGGGCGCGGUGGCUCAUGCCUCUAAUCACAGCACCUUGGUAAGCCAAGGAGGGAGGACUGCUUGAGCCCAGGAGUUAGAGACCAGCCUGAGCAACAUAGCAAGAAUUCCAUCUACAAAAAAAAAACAAAAACUCAUCUGGGCUGGCAGUGCAAACCUGUGGCCCCAGCUACACAGGAGGCUGAGGUGAGAGGAUUGUUUGAGCCUGGAAGGCAGAGGUUGCAGUGAGUUGUGAUCAUGCCACUGCAUUCCAGCCUGGGCGGCAGAGCAAGACCCUGUCUCUAAAAUAAACAAAUAAGAAGUGAAAGGGUUCAAAGCAGCACUGUCCUAAAGAAAUAUAGUGUGAGCCAUAUAUGGAAUUUUAAUUUUUCUGCUAGUCACAUUAAAAUAUAAUAAGAAACAGGUAGAAUUAAUUGUAAGGCUGUAUUUAAGUUAAUCUAAUAUAUCCCAAAUAUUAUCAUUUUACCAUGUAAUCAAUAAAAACAUUAAUAAGAGAUGUUACAUUUUUUGGUACUCAUUCUUCAAAAUCUGGUAUGUAUUUUACACUUAAACAGCACAUUUCAAUUUGUGGUAAGCCACAUUUCGAGUCCUCAACAAACACACAGGUGCCUAGUGUCUGCUAUAUUCCACAGCACAGAUACAAACUAUCAUCUUUUAUGUCCAAGCAAGACUCAAAAUUGAAGAAUGAUAAUUUACUAUGGAAGAUAUCUGAAAAGCAGGAAGGAUCAAUCAGAUGUGCCUAAGUUAGCAUUUCAGACAAGAGGGCUCCCCUUUCUCUCUAUGCCCCAAAGUCCUGUAGAUCAGGAUUGACUUCAAUCAGGAGUUCAUAAACUUUUUCUGUAAAGGGGGCCAGAGCAUAAGUAUUUUAGAAAUUGCAGGCCAGACAGUCUCUGUGACAACUAUUCAGUUCUGCUGUUAGAGCAUCAAAGCAGUCAUAGAUAACACCAACAAAUGAGCACGAUUAUAUUCUAAUAAAACUUUAUUUAUGGACAUGAAAAUUUGAAUUUCAUAUGGUUUUCAUGUCAUGAAAUAUUUUUUUCAAACAUUUAAAAAUGUAAACCCCUUUCGGACCUCAUGAAACCUACUAAAACAGGCUAAGGGCCAGAUUUGGCCCGCUGGCCAUUGUUUGCCAACCCCCAGAGGAUGGGGAUUAAGAAAGGGAGUGCUAGGAGAUUCUAUCUUAAUGACAGGAUGUGGGAGAGCAAAAUAUGCUGCCCCAAAAUAUAGAUUGUUGAGCUAACAGCAAUUGAGAAGAAGCAGAUGUAGGAAAGCUCUCUGCCCUCCUUCUAUUUGCCUAAAAGCAGGAUUUAGAUUUACAAAGACAAAAGGUAUCUUGCCCCCUUCUGUCAGGGAAAAAAAAGAUUAACCAACCAAGAAAAUGGUAGACCCAUAUUGGCUAGGAGAUGGCAUCAGAGGAAUCUGCAUCAACAAGCUUUACUAACUGGCUUUUUAACUGCCAUUAUUUGCCUUCUCACAAAUUACUGUCACUGGCCCUAGAAAGUCAAAGUCCUUUUUCUUUGUCUUGUCACUUGACUAAAAAUUUACUGUUUUUUGUUGUAGAUGUUAUAUAAGCUGGAAUUCAAACCACCUCUUUGAGAACUACUCAUUCGCUGGGUGUCUCCCAUGUAUGUGUGAAAUAUACGUGUUAAUGAACUACUCUUUGUUUUUCUCUUGUUAAUCUGCCUUUUUUUUUUUUUUUUUUUUACAGGAGUCCAUUCUAACUAAGAAACUAUGAGGCAUGGAGAAAAAAUUAUUUUGUUCCUACAGAGACAUUUCUUGCAGAAUAAAAACUAGAACUUUGGAAUCAAGAGAAAAUGAAAGGAGCACAGGAUGUGUGUUUUGCCAUAUCUGUUUUGACCCAAGUUCUGAUAUGAGUAAGUUCUUAUGCCUCAGUCAUAUCAUUGAUCAUCUCUAGUCCUUCCUACCAUCUGGAUGAUUACCACGGCAACGUUAAUGAGUCCAACAAUAGCUCAUAUACUUGUACUGCAUUAAAUCAAAAUUAUUAAUAUUUUGAACAGACUCUGGACAAAUUUAUCAUUUAAAAUGCAAAAGGAAUGGCUUAGUCAAGAAAUAAAUAGGAUUGCAGAGACUUAUAAAUAGCUUUAACAUUGCUAUACUAAUUUAGAAACAAUUCUUACUAUAAAUAAGCCAACUAUCA